rnacentral:rRNA from 1 species
CUAACACAUGCAAGUNGAGCGGAAACGAGUUAACUGACCCUUCGGNCNACGUUAACGGCGUCGAGCGGCGNACGGGUGAGUAANGCCUGGGAAAUUNCCCUNAUGUGGGGGAUAACCAUUGGAAACGAUGGCUAAUACCNCAUAAUAGCUUCNGCUCAAAGAGGGGGACNUUCGGGCCUCUCGCGUCAGGAUAUGCCCAGGUGGGAUUAGCUAGUUGGUGAGGUAAUGGCUCACCAAGGCGACGAUCCCUAGCUGGUCUGAGAGGAUGAUCAGCCACACUGGAACUGAGACACGGUCCAGACUCCUACGGGAGGCAGCAGUGGGGAAUAUUGCACAAUGGGCGCAAGCCUGAUGCAGCCAUGCCGCGUGUGUGAAGAAGGCCUUCGGGUUGUAAAGCACUUUCAGUCGUGAGGAAGGNGGUGUAGUUAAUAGCUGCAUNAUUUGACGUUAGCNACAGAAGAAGCACCGGCUAACUCCGUGCCAGCANCCNCGGUAAUACNGAGGGUGCGAGCGUUAAUCGGAAUUACUGGGCNUAAAGCGCAUGCACGUGGUUAGUUAACUCANAUGUGAAAGCCCGGGNCUCAACCUCGGAACUGCAUUUGAAACUGGCUGACUAGAGUACUGUAGAGGGGGGUAGAAUUUCAGGUGUANCGGUNAAAUGCGUAGAGAUCUGAAGGAAUACCGNUGGCGAANGCGGCCCCCUGGACAGAUACUGACACUCACAUGCCAAAGCGUGGGNAGCAAACNNGAUUAGAUACCCUGGUAGUCCACGCCGUAAACGAUGUCUACUUGGAGGUUGUGGCCUUGAACCGUGGCUUUCGGAGCUAACGCGUUAAGUAGACCGCCUGGGGAGUACGGUCGCAAGAUUAAAACUCAAAUGAAUUGACGGGGGCCCGCACAAGCGGUGGAGCAUGUGGUUUAAUUCGAUGCAACGCGAAGAACCUUACCUACUCUUGACAUCCAGAGAACUUAGCAGAGAUGCUUUGGUGCCUUCGGGAACUCUGAGACAGGUGCUGCAUGGCUGUCGUCAGCUCGUGUUGUGAAAUGUUGGGUUAAGUCCCGCAACGAGCGCAACCCUUAUCCUUGUUUGCCAGCACUUCGGGUGGGAACUCCAGGGAGACUGCCGGUGAUAAACCGGAGGAAGGUGGGGACGACGUCAAGUCAUCAUGGCCCUUACGAGUAGGGCUACACACGUGCUACAAUGGCGCAUACAGAGGGCAGCCAACUUGCGAAAGUGAGCGAAUCCCAAAAAGUGCGUUCUGCAACUCGACUCCAUGAAGUCGGAAUCGCUAGUAAUCGUGGAUCAGAAUGCCACGGUGAAUACGUUCCCGGGCCUUGUACACACCGCCCGUCACACCAUGGGGAGUGGGCUGCAAAAGAAGUGGGUAGUUUAACC